UCCCGUAUAGCUCAUUCGAGAGAGCUUUAGGCUAAAAACCUAACGGUCCAGGGUUCGAGUCCCUGUUCGGGCG